rnacentral:misc_RNA from 1 species
AGGUGAACCUGCGGAAGGAUCAUUAACGAAUCGUGAUUGGUGGUUUGAUUUUGUCAGCCAUCAAACAUAUGUGCUCUCCAGGCGACUGGAGGUGCAAAACAUAUCAUAUAUAUGAUGUAGUGUAUUAUUGUGUAGUGAAUGUUUGUUGGUUAUAUCACUAAUUGUGGUACGAUCAGUAAUAAUCAAAUGACACUUUUAACAAUGGAUCUCUUGGCUCUUG